GACGGAGGGGGCAAGCGUUGUUCGGAUUUAUUGGGCGUAAAGGGCUCGUAGGCGGACUGGUAAGUCUGGCGUGAAAUCUCCACCACUCAACGGGGAGGGGCCGUCGGAAACUGUCAGUCUGGAGUAUGGUAGAGGACCAUGGAAUUCCUGGUGUAGCGGUGGAAUGCGUAGGAUAUCAGGAAGAACACCGGUGGCGGAAGGCGGUGGUCUGGGCCAUUACUGACGCUGAGGAGCGAAAGCCAGGGGAGCGAACGGGAUUAG
rnacentral:rRNA from 1 species